ACGAACGCUGGCGGCGUGCUUAACACAUGCAAGUCACGGGGGGGUAGCAAUACCAACCGGCGAACGGGUGCGUAACACGUGAGCAAUCUGCCGAUGUCUGGGGGAUAGCCGGCCCAACGGCCGGGUAAUACCGCAUACGCUUGCUUGAGGAGUCUCGAGGCAAGGAACCUCCGGGGGACAUCGAGGAGCUCGCGGCCUAUCAGCUAGUUGGCGGGGUAAUGGCCCACCAAGGCUCUGACGGGGUAGCUGGUCUGAGAGGAUGGCCAGCCACAUUGGGACUGAGAAACGGCCCAGACUCCUACGGGAGGCAGCAGUGGGGAAUCUUGCGCAAUGGCCGAAAGGCUGACGCAGCGACGCCGCGUGUGGGAGGACGCCCUUCGGGGUGUAAACCACUGUUGCCCGGGACGAACAUCCCCUUUCGAGGGGACUGACGGUACCGGGUGAGGAAGCACCGGCUAACUCCGUGCCAGCAGCCGCGGGUAAUUACGGGAGGGUGCGAGCGUUGUCCGGAAUCACUGGGCGUAAAGGGCGCGUAGGCGGCGCGGGAAGUCAUCGGUGAAAGUUCAGGGGCUCAACUCUGAAUCGGCCGGUGAUACUCUCGUGCUCGAGCGCUGUAAGAGGCAGGUGGAAUUCCGGGUGUAGCGGUGGAAUGCGUAGAGAUCCGGAAGAACACCGGUGGCGAAGGCGGCCUGCUGGGCAGUAGCUGACGCUGAUGCGCGACAGCGUGGGGGAGCAAACAGGAUUAGAUACCCUGGUAGUCCACGCCGUAAACGAUGGGCACUAGGUGCUUGGGGGGAGCGACCCUCUGAGUGCCGGCGCUAACGCAUUAAGUGCCCCGCCUGGGGGGGUACGGCCGCAAGGCUGAAACUCCAAAGGAAUUGACGGGGGCCCGCACAAGCGGUGGGAGCAUGUGGUUUAAUUCGACGCAACGCGAAGAACCUUACCUAGGCUUGACAUGCAGAGGAAAGCUCUGAGAACCAGAGCCCUCCUUCGGGACUUCUGCACAGGUGCUGCAUGGCUGUCGUCAGCUCGUGUCGUGAGAUGUUGGGUUAAGUCCCGCAACGAGCGCAACCCCCGUUCCCAGUUGCUAACGGGUUAUGCCGAGGACUCUGGGAAGACUGCCGGUGCCAAACCGGAGGAAGGUGGGGACGACGUCAAGUCAUCAUGGUCCUUACGUCUAGGGCUACACACGUGCUACAAUGAUCGGUACAGAGGGCUGCAAACCCGCGAGGGGGAGCCAAUCCCAUAAAGCCGAUCUCAGUGCGGAUUGGAGGCUGCAACUCGCCUCCAUGAAGCUGGAAUCGCUAGUAAUCGUGGAUCAGCUACGCCACGGUGAAUACGUUCCCGGGCCUUGUACACACCGCCCGUCACGCCAUGGAAGCUGUGAGCGCCCGAAGUCCGUGUCGGAACCCGCAAGGGACCAAGCGGCCGAAGGCGAGCGCAGUGACUGGGGCG
rnacentral:rRNA from 1 species